CUCGGGGCUAGGCUGGGCAUCGGUCAGCGAGUGGUGGGUCCAGAAGAUGACAUUUUCCAGAGCUGCAUGGUGAGAGAAUCCACACCUACCACUUUAAAGCACAAAGUCAGGCCUCUGUGCUUUAAAGAGUGUUGAGGCACAUCUAUAAUGUCCUGAUGUUCUCAUUGGCACAGGUGGAAGACAAAGAUUUAAAACUGAUAUCUCAGUUUGUCAUGAAGAAAGACUAUCUAGUAAGUAAUCGAGUCAUGGCUGUCUGAAUGGAAAAGAACAACUCAGCAACAGGCCCAGGGUUCUUCAUCUUCAGCCUUACUGUCAUCUUCUGCAGUACCAGCCUUCCCUGAGACUUUUAUGUUGGAAAUGGGCCUUAUCCACUGUCCAGGAACUAUGGAGAGAAAGACAGUAUGAGCAAUGGGUGCUGCUGUAGAUGAUCCGUGCCUGAGCUGUCCCACCAAAACCACACAUACCUUCAUCACUUUUGUUACAAAAUGCAAUCAAUGCAGCAGAUCAUGACCUUGCAGUGGCCACAUCAUUAUUACCACACCCAAGAUAAUGGAGACAUCACCCAGAUCUCAUCAGGGUCCUGUCCUGUCAUCCAGUCAACAGCUGUCCUGAAUUAAACUCAUAAACAGUCACUCUGGUAAGGCAGAAUAUUGUUCAGAUCAGAAAAUGUGUAAGGAAAAUAUUGCUGUAUAAAUACAUUUUUUGAAAAGUUAAUAUUUCUGUAUGAAAUGAGUUUAAUACAGUUUAAUAACACCAAACAAAUAUGUUGGAAUAUAUUUGGAUAUAGUUAUUAGCAUUCAGUUAGAUUCAUGUAACUCUAGGAGAUACUCUUCAAAAUGAGCCUGGCAAUACAGAGCAUUUGCUUUCUAUACUCUUCUACAUUCUGCCAUCACACAUCUAUGCUGCAAUUUGCCAUGUAAAAUAUUUGCAUUAUUGCCUUAACUACUAUGUGCUUUAAUUUAGAGUGGGAUGUGACAGGGACUUCGAGGGAGGAGGAGAGAGAAGGGUUUCCAGCUGCACAUGUAUCAUGCUUGCACCCACCUGACAGCUUCUCCAGACAGGGUUGUAUGUCCCCUCAUCAGUUGGAGCAAGAGGAAGGGCAUGCAGCUGGCUUUGUUGUUUCCCAAAUGCUAUUGCAGCACCAUGGGGCACAUCAGGAUCAUGGGGUGUGUUUUGAAACAAAAUGGCUCUUGGCUGUGCAAAAUAGAAGUAGCUGUUAGUAACAAAAUUGUGGGUAUCAUGCAGCACACAUAAACUCAUUUACUUAAGCAAAAGCAAAACCAUGCAGAUACACCUGAGGUUACCUUUUGAACUCUCUGAAAUACAUAGCAGAAACUAACAGUGCAGUAUGAUGAUCUAAUUGUGCAUACACAAUGGAAAAUGCUUUGCUACAUGCUUAAAUAAGCUCUGUAGAUAAAUUGGAUGCUAUCAAAUGAAUAAGUUUAUACAAUCAAAAAGCACAGGAGAUUUUGUCUAUCCUUUUACUCCAGAAGAUAGUUUUGAACAGCAAUAAGCAAACCCAACUAUACAAUGCCAAGAGUAUCUAACAUCCAGAAACCUGGGAAAACAGGAUGUGUGAGAGGCAUUUAAGAAUACUAUAAGGUUGCUGUUAAAGAUAAAAAAAUAGCAAAAAUGCUGUUCAAGUCAUAUUUAAAUUCUACUCCCCAUUCUACUCCCCGCUGUUUUCCAUUAUGUUUGAAAACCCAGUAACAGUUCAGCAGCCUGUCAAAAAAAAAACCAACCAAACAAACAAACAAAAAAACUUUCUGUAAGUGGAAGGGCUGACAAAAUUACAGCAGCUGGGUAUCUAUUCCUCUGAACUUCACUGUGCAGAGCUACAGUGGAUCUUUCUGCAUAAAGCUAAUCAAGGUGGAAAAUAAAACUUGGUUUCAUUAACAGUCUCUGUCACUGAAGAGUCAAAUAAUUUUUCAUUCUUCGGUUGCAUUCAACUACAGAGACAUUACUAGUAGUAGUUUUUUCUGUGACAGAGAGCUUUAACAGUGUUUUUUCUUUUUUAGCACUUUGCUUAUUGUGCACUCCUGUUGCACCCAUUGCUGGUUGCAGAUUAACACCUGUUAUUGUUUCUACAGAAAAUGAUGAAUGGUGCCAUUACUGGCACAGCUUUAUGUGAGCAAAAUUAAACUUGUGCAUUUUAACUUUUGUAGUUACAGUAAUUACCACAAUUACUUUCAAAUUAUAGUUUGCAUGGACCCUGCACCAAAGCUGAAAAACUGUGAACAACCAUCUACCCACAUUCUUGGAGAGGGAUGUAGGCAAAAUGCAAACUGUGGGCUUGCUCCAUGAGUCAAGAAAAAGCUAUAAGGCACCCGACUAGUUUUGCCCUCAGCUAGCCAUUUUCAUAAUACUCCUCUCUAAGACAUGUAUAAGGAACUCAUAUUUCAGUUUAUAGCUAUAUUUGAUUCAAAUAUGAAAUGUGUAAUUCCAAAGGUUGAGUCAAAUCACAAGUGCUUAUCUGGAUUUUUGAAACCUGACCUAUGUGACUGAACUAAUGGGCAUAGUUGUACUUUGGAGUUAACUACACACAUCAGUUGUACCAGCCAUUAUAGUUCAUCUACCAGUCGUUAUAGUUCAUCUCACCUGGUGUUGACUGUUGAAUGUCUGAGCAAUCUAGGCUGCUCAUCAUGGUUUCCUUGGCAGUUACUGGGGAUCACUCCACCAAAGACAAAUGAGUGGUAUUAAUGAGAACAGUUGCCCUCCAGAAGUGUCUAUUUCUGUCUUUUGACUAUAGAGGGAGCCAAGACAACUGACUUAGACUAGAAGCUCAGCUUUUACUUAGACAUCUAGCUGAGCAGAAGGAAAACUGCCAACACCAGGUAGUCAGAUACUGCCCUUCAUCCGGUUAAGCAGCUGUCAUACAGUUGCAUUUUCUUCUAGGUAAAAGAAGAUGUUAAAACAGGGCUGUUUCUGAAUGCAAAUCUUCUGUGUUUGUUUGUUUUUAUUUUGUUUUGGUUUUGUUUGUUUGUGUGUGUGUGUGUUUUUUUUGAUCAGGCCAAGUUUCCUACAGUGAGAUGUACAGAAAUCAUAGCCCAUACUUUCUGAAAAGUGAUAAUUGAAAAUGUAGUUAUUAAGAGAUCUAAUAAUCUUUUAGAUUGUUAAACCUAUGGCUAAUGAAAACAUUAAUGACCUAUUUAUCUGUUUGUUUGUUUCCUGGAGCUAACCAUGAAACUAGUCAUCCUUUCUUUUUUUUUUUUUUUGUGGUGAGAACAGAAAAAGUAUCUUUGUGAUUUAAUCUGAUAUAUAAUUUUCUCUGAAAUACUUUGCAUAAAAAUUGUUCUUACAGAGAAAUGAAUUUUCAAAACAAAACAAAAUAAAAACACUAUUCAUA